rnacentral:rRNA from 1 species
GACGAACGCUGGCGGCGUGCCUAAUACAUGCAAGUUGAGCGCUGAAGGUUGGUACUUGUACCAACUGGAUGAGCAGCGAACGGGUGAGUAACGCGUGGGGAAUCUGCCUUUGAGCGGGGGACAACAUUUGGAAACGAAUGCUAAUACCGCAUAAAAACUUUAAACACAAGUUUUAAGUUUGAAAGAUGCAAUUGCAUCACUCAAAGAUGAUCCCGCGUUGUAUUAGCUAGUUGGUGAGGUAAAGGCUCACCAAGGCGAUGAUACAUAGCCGACCUGAGAGGGUGAUCGGCCACAUUGGGACUGAGACACGGCCCAAACUCCUACGGGAGGCAGCAGUAGGGAAUCUUCGGCAAUGGACGAAAGUCUGACCGAGCAACGCCGCGUGAGUGAAGAAGGGUUUCGGAUCGUAAAAAUCUGUUGGUAGAGAAGAACGUUGGUGAGAGUGGAAAGCUCAUCAAGUGACGGUAACUACCCAGAAAGGGACGGCUAACUACGUG